rnacentral:rRNA from 1 species
UACGGAGGGUGCAAGCGUUAUCCGGAUUUACUGGGUUUAAAGGGUGUGUAGGCGGAAAUUUAAGUCAGUGGUGAAAUCUUCAGGCUCAACCUGGAAACUGCCAUUGAUACUAUUUUUCUUGAAUAUUGUGGAGGUAGGCGGAAUGUGUCAUGUAGCGGUGAAAUGCAUAGAUAUGACACAGAACACCGAUUGCGAAGGCAGCCUGCUACACAAUUAUUGACGCUGAGGCACGAAAGCGUGGGGAUCAAACAGG